rnacentral:tRNA from 1 species
ACUACUUAACUUUUAGUUUAAUUAAAAUAUAAAAUUUACAAUUUUAAGUUUUCAGAAGAGAGAGUAGUU